AGAACGAACGCUGGCGGCAGGCUUAACACAUGCAAGUCGAACGCCCCGCAAGGGGAGUGGCAGACGGGUGAGUAACGCGUGGGAAUCUACCUAGCUCUUCGGAAUAGCUCCGGGAAACUGGAAUUAAUACCGUAUACGCCCUUCGGGGGAAAGAUUUAUCGGGGAAGGAUCGGCCCGCGUUGGAUUAGGUAGUUGGUGGGGUAAUGGCCUACCAAGCCGACGAUCCAUAGCUGGUUUGAGAGGAUGACCAGCCACACUGGGACUGAGACACGGCCCAGACUCCUACGGGAGGCAGCAGUGGGGAAUCUUAGACAAUGGGGGCAACCCUGAUCUAGCCAUGCCGCGGUGGACGAUGAAGGCCUUAGGGUUGUAAAGUCCUUUCGCUGGGGAAGAUAAGUGACGGUACCAGUAAAGACGCCCGGCUAACUCCGUGCCAGCAGCCGAC
rnacentral:rRNA from 1 species